rnacentral:rRNA from 1 species
UACGAAGGGGGCUAGCGUUGCUCGGAAUCACUGGGCGUAAAGCGCACGUAGGCGGCUUUUUAAGUCAGGGGUGAAAAUCCUGGAGCUCAACUCCAGAACUGCCUUUGAUACUGAGAGCUUGAGUCCGGGAGAGGUGAGUGGAACUGCGAAGUGUAGAGGUGAAAUUCGUAGAUAUUCGCAAAGAACACCAGUCGGCGGAAGGCGGAGCUCGAC